AACGAACGCUGGCGGUGUGCUUAACACAUGCAAGUCGAACGAGAGAGUUUCCUUCGGGGAACUAGUAAAGUGGCGCAAGGGUGAGUAACACGUGAAUAAUCUGCCCUCGAGAUCGGGAUAACUUGGCGAAAGCUAAGCUAAUACCGGAUAAGACCACAUUUCAUAAGAAAUGAGGGAAAAGGAGUCUCAACCUCCACUCGAGGAUGAGUUCGCGGACCAUUAGCUUGUUGGUGAGAUAAAAGCUCACCAAGGCUACGAUGGAUAGCCGGCCUGAGAGGGUGAUCGGCCACACUGGAACCUGAGACACGGGUCCAGACUCCUACGGGAGGCAGCAGUGGGGAAUAUUGCGCAAUGGGCGAAAGCCUGACGCAGCAACACCGUGUGAGCGAUG
rnacentral:rRNA from 1 species